AUUGAACGCUGGCGGCAGGCUUAACACAUGCAAGUCGAGCGAGCGGCGGACGGGUGAGUAAUGUCUGGGAAACUGCCUGAUGGAGGGGGAUAACUACUGGAAACGGUAGCUAAUACCGCAUACCAUCAGAUGUGCCCAGAUGGGAGUAGAUAGUGGGUGGUGUAAUGGCUCACCUAGGCGACGAUCCCUAGCUGGUCGGAGAGGAUGACCGGUCACACUGGAACUGAGACCCGGUCCAGACUCCUAGGGGGGGCAGCAGUGGGGAAUAUUGCACAAUGGGCGCAGGCCUGAGGCAGCCAUGCCGCGUGUGUGAAGAAGGCCUUAGGGUUUUAAAGCACUUUCAGCGAGGAGGCGUUACUCGCAGAAGAAGCACCGGCUAACUCCGUGCCAGCAGCCGCGGUAAUAC
rnacentral:rRNA from 1 species